GGGCGCAGCUGAUCAGCCAUGCCGCGUGCAGGAUGAGGCCUUCGGGUUGUAACUGCUUUUGUACGGAACGAAAGACUCUGGUUAAUACCUGGGGUCCCAUGACGGUACCGUAAGAAUAAGCACCGGCUAACUACGUGCCAGCAGCGCGUAA
rnacentral:rRNA from 1 species